UGUCGUCAGCUCGUGUUGUGAAAUGUUGGGUUAAGUCCCGCAACGAGCGCAACCCUUAUCCUUUGUUGCCAGCGGUCCGGCCGGGAACUCAAAGGAGACUGCCAGUGAUAAACUGGAGGAAGGUGGGGAUGACGUCAAGUCAUCAUGGCCCUUACGACCAGGGCUACACACGUGCUACAAUGGCGCAUACAAAGAGAAGCGACCUCGCGAGAGCAAGCGGACCUCAUAAAGUGCGUCGUAGUCCGGAUUGGAGUCUGCAACUCGACUCCAUGAAGUCGGAAUCGCUAGUAAUCGUGGAUCAGAAUGCCACGGUGAAUACGUUCCCGGGCCUUGUACACACCGCCCGUCACACCAUGGGAGUGGGUUGCAAAAGAAGUAGGUAGCUUAACCUUCGGGAGGGCGCUUACCACUUUGUGAUUCAUGACUGGGGUGAAGUCGUAAC
rnacentral:rRNA from 1 species